rnacentral:rRNA from 1 species
UACGGAGGGAGCUAGCGUUGUUCGGAAUUACUGGGCGUAAAGCGUGCGUAGUCGGUUAUCUAAGUCGGGCGUGAAAGCCCCGGGCUCAACCUGGGAACCGCGCUUGAGACUGGCAUGCUCGAGUUCGGGAGAGGAUGGUGGAAUUCCCAGUGUAGAGGUGAAAUUCGUAGAUAUUGGGAAGAACACCGAUGGCGAAGGCAGCCAUCUGGACCGACACUGACGCUGAGGCGCGAAAGCGUGGGGGGCAAACAGG